rnacentral:rRNA from 1 species
CACGUAGGGCGCAAGCGUUGUCCGGAAUUAUUGGGCGUAAAGAGCUCGUAGGCGGUCUGUUGCGUCCGCUGUGAAAACUCGGGGCUUAACCCCGAGCCUGCAGUGGAUACGGGCAGACUAGAGGUAGGUAGGGGAGAAUGGAAUUCCUGGUGUAGCGGUGAAAUGCGCAGAUAUCGGGAAGAACACCUAUGGCGAAGGCAGCUCUCUGGGACGGUACUGACGCUGAGACGCGAAAGCGUGGG